GGUCAAGCUACAAAGACUAGUGUUUU
rnacentral:rRNA from 1 species